rnacentral:rRNA from 1 species
GCUUAGGAAUCUGCCUAUUAGUGGGGGACAACGUUCCGAAAGGAGCGCUAAUACCGCAUACGUCCUACGGGAGAAAGCAAGGGGACCUUUGGGCCUUGCGCUAAUAGAUGAGCCUAAGUCGGAUUAGCUAGUUGGUAGGGUAAAGGCCUACCAAGGCGACGAUCUGUAGCGGUUCUGAGAGGAUGAUCCGCCACACUGGGACUGAGACACGGCCCAGACUCCUACGGGAGGGCAGCAGUGGGGAAUAUUGGACAAUGGGGGGAACCCUGAUCCAGCCAUGCCGCGUGUGUGAAGAAGGCCUUUUGGUUGUAAAGCACUUUAAGCGAGGAGGAGGCUACCUAGAUUAAUACUUUAGGAUAGUGGACGUUACUCGCAGAAUAAGCACCGGCUAACUCUGUGCCAGCAGCCGCGGUAAUACAGAGGGUGCGAGCGUUAAUCGGAUUUACUGGGCGUAAAGCGUGCGUAGGCGGCCAAUUAAGUCAAAUGUGAAAUCCCCGAGCUUAACUUGGGAAUUGCAUUCGAUACUGGUUGGCUAGAGUAUGGGAGAGGAUGGUAGAAUUCCAGGUGUAGCGGUGAAAUGCGUAGAGAUCUGGAGGAAUACCGAUGGCGAAGGCAGCCAUCUGGCCUAAUACUGACGCUGAGGUACGAAAGCAUGGGGAGCAAACAGGAUUAGAUACCCUGGUAGUCCAUGCCGUAAACGAUGUC